rnacentral:rRNA from 1 species
GGUCUGACGGAGCACGCCGCGUGAGUGAUGAAGGUUUUCGGAUCGUAAAGCUCUGUUGUUAGGGAAGAACAAGUGCAAGAGUAACUGCUUGCACCUUGACGGUACCUAACCAGAAAGCCACGGCUAACUACGUGCCAGCAGCCGCGGUAAUACGUAGGUGGCAAGCGUUGUCCGGAAUUAUUGGGCGUAAAGGGCUCGCAGGCGGUUUCUUAAGUCUGAUGUGAAAGCCCCCGGCUCAACCGGGGAGGGUCAUUGGAAACUGGGAAACUUGAGUGCAGAAGAGGAGAGUGGAAUUCCACGUGUAGCGGUGAAAUGCGUAGAGAUGUGGAGGAACACCAGUGGCGAAGGCGACUCUCUGGUCUGUAACUGACGCUGAGGAGCGAAAGCGUGGGGAGCGAACAGGAUUAGAUACCCUGGUAGUCCACGCCGUAAACGAUGAGUGCUAAGUGUUAGGGGGUUUCCGCCCCUUAGUGCUGCAGCUAACGCAUUAAGCACUCCGCCUGGGGAGUACGGUCGCAAGACUGAAACUCAAAGGAAUUGACGGGGGCCCGCACAAGCGGUGGAGCAUGUGGUUUAAUUCGAAGCAACGCGAAGAACCUUACCAGGUCUUGACAUCCUCUGACAACCCUAGAGAUAGGGCUUUCCCUUCGGGGACAGAGUGACAGGUGGUGCAUGGUUGUCGUCAGCUCGUGUCGUGAGAUGUUGGGUUAAGUCCCGCAACGAGCGCAACCCUUGAUCUUAGUUGCCAGCAUUCAGUUGGGCACUCUAAGGUGACUGCCGGUGACAAACCGGAGGAAGGUGGGGAUGACGUCAAAUCAUCAUGCCCC